CUCAGCUCUUACAAGAUAAUAUCUAGAUGAUGUGUGUUGGCUUAAACAACAUACCAAGCUUUACCUCUUAAUACUCUUACAAGUAAUAGCAUGUCGUGGAUUAGAUAUGCACAUUUGAUCUAAAAACUAAAUUACAUGGUGGUGGCGGGUGGCGGAGAAUUAGGAUUCGAUUCCAGAGAGGGAGCAUGAGAAACGUUUGUCACAUCUAAGGAAGGCAGCAGCCAGCAGAUAGGGCAAAUUAUCCAAUCCUAACAUGGGGAGGUGGUGAUAAUAAAUAACAAUAGCUGAUGUUUUAGUGCCUUGUAAUUGGAAUGAGUACAAUGUAAAUCCUUUUAGGCGGAUCCAUUGUAGGACAGGUAUGGUGCUAGCAGCCAUGUUAAUUCAAGCUCCAAUAGUGUGUAUUUAAGUUGUAUAGUUCAAAGGCUCGUAGUUGGAUCCUAGGCCGAGUCGUCCAGUCCGCUUCACGAUGAACACCGACCUACUCGACCCUUCUUUCUACCGGCGAUGCGUUCCUGACCUUAACAGGUUGUGUCGUGCCUUGGCGUGUUACUUUUGAAGAAAAUAGAGUGCUCAAAGCAAGCCAUAAUUCUAAACACAUUAGAAUAGGGUAACAUCAUAUGAUUCCGGUCAUAUUUUGUUGGCCUUCGGGAUUGGAGUAACUAAAACUGUAAAUGAGAUCAUUAGGCCAAGACAGUUGGGCACAAUAAUUGUGCAUUCAUCUA
rnacentral:ncRNA from 1 species